rnacentral:misc_RNA from 1 species
AUAAGGAACUAGCAUAUUUGAUUAUGUGCUUUUCUAACUACCUUUUAUUAUGGACCGAUAAUACUAUAGAGGAACAAUGCUAUUUCGGUUUGCAUUAAAUUCACUAGGGCAUGACUGAAUAUGAGGUGGGUGUUACUCAACAAUGUUUGUAUGCUGUACUUAUUUGUAGUUAUUGUUAUACUACAUAUCAUACAUGGGGAAUUACGGUCUGUAAAUAAUAUACUUCAGCGAAAGGUAGCCGAGCUUACAAUAUUUCUAUAGA